rnacentral:lncRNA from 1 species
CCAUGUACCCUGAAUAUGUUCAUGAGUAUGGAAUCAUGUCAAACUCAAACACAUAUUCAUAUCGAUUCUUAAUUAACCAAUGAUGACUCUAAUAAAGAAGUAUUAAAAUUUUUUUCUAAUCUCCAUCCUGCUUUUGGCCAAAAGACUUUUCUCAAGUCAUCUAGGAUUGAGAAUACACAGAUUACGAUCUCCUCUUACUAGGAGUGAUCGAU